rnacentral:rRNA from 1 species
CCUACGGGAGGCAGCAGUGGGGAAUAUUGCACAAUGGGGGCAACCCUGAUGCAGCGAUGCCGCGUGAGCGAUGAAGUAUUUCGGUAUGUAAAGCUCUAUCAGCAGGGAAGAAGAUGACCUUACCUGUAUAAGAAGCUGCGGCUAACUACGUGCCAGCAGCCGCGGUAAUACGUAGGGGGCAAGCGUUAACCGGAUUGACUGGGGGGAAAGGGCGCGUAGACGGCGAUGCAAGCCAGAUGUGAAAGCCCGGGGCUAAACCCCGGGACUGCAUUUGGAACUGUGUGGCUGGAGUGUCGGAGAGGCAGGCGGAAUUCCUAGUGUAGCAGUGAAAUGCGUAGAUAUUAGGAGGAACACCAGUGGCGAAGGCGGCCUGCUGGACGAUGACUGACGUUGAGGCUCGAAAGCGUGGGGAGCAAACAGGAUUAGAUACCCCAGUAGUC